AGCGAACGCUGGCGGCAUGCUUAACACAUGCAAGUCGCACGGGCAGGGCAACCUGUCAGUGGCGGACGGGUGAGUAACGCGUAGGUAUCUAUCCUUGGGUGGGGGACAACGGUUGGAAACGACUGCUAAUACCGCAUGAUAACUGAGGUUUAAAGGCGCAAGUCGCCUGAGGAGGAGCCUGCGUACGAUUAGCUAGUUGGUGGGGUAAAGGCCUACCAAGGCUGUGAUCGUUAGCUGGUCUGAGAGGAUGAUCAGCCACAUUGGGACUGAGACACGGCCCAAACUCCUACGGGAGGCAGCAGUGGGAAUAUUGGACAAUGGGCGAAAGCCUGAUCCAGCAAUGCCCGUGUGUGAAGAAGGUCUUCGGAUUGUAAAGCACUUUCGACGGGGACGAUGAUGACGGUACCCGUAGAAG
rnacentral:rRNA from 1 species